AUGGGGAUAGGUGGGUGUUUGCAGGCAGCCCGUGUGGAGCUGAGUGGUGCUGUGCAGCGUAGUUCCCCUCUCCCUCUUUGUUUUUCUCCACUUGCACAGCCUGCAUGGCACAGCCCGUGCCUUGGGGGAGGAUGUGGUGUUCUCCAGGCCAGUUCCUCACUGCAGCAGCACACGCUGGCAGAACCAGCCCUGCACACCUUGGGACACAGGGGAUGCUGCUUUGUGCCUGCAGGAAGGAGCAGCUCAGGGAUGUGCUUACAGGUAAAGAGCAAAUCCUUGCGUGGGGCUCUGGAGGCAGCCCUGGUGGGGCUUUUUUCUUCUUUUUUUUGGGUAUGGAGCUCAUGAGUUUGGAAGCUUUGAAUUCAAAGCCUUAAGGGAUGCAGCUCCCCGCUGAUGGAGCUAUUUCCUUUUUUGCUUUAUUUCAUGUUGGGUUUCCAACACCGGAGCUCCAUCUGCACCUCAUGCUGAUGUUGGGCCCCUCCCCAUUCCGCAGGGCUGGGAAACGUGUGAGCAUUUCAUAGACACAGUGCAUAGGGCAUCUCACAGCUGCGGGCAUUCACUUGCAGAGCACAGCUGGGCUUUGUGGGACACAUAGCUAUGACUUGCUGGUGGCCUCUCCUCCACCAGCACCUCCCCAGUGACACGCAGUGCCCAUGGCACAUCCCAGCACUGGGUUUGCACAGCAGAGGUUUACCUUGCUGCUGGGAUCCUCCCUGCUGCCGUCACACAGUGAGAACAGAGAGCUGAAUGCAGACCUUUGUGCUCUGUGUUUGUUCUUUGUCCAUCCCAGCAGGACAGACCCAACUGGUGGCACUGUGCGCAACUGCAAUGCAAGCAUGCAAAUGCAGCACGUGCACGGGCCUCCUGCUUUCAUGCACUGCGCUUGGAAGCAGCCAGGCAUGAUGCAGAAUGCAAGCACAGGGCAGCUCAGCCAUCUGCAGCCCCGCAUGAAGGCAAUGUAAGCAGCUGCUCUGCUCCUCCUUGCAUGCAUAAAUUGCAGCACGCAGUGGCAAUGCUGCACCGCCGUGCUGCACCCGGCUGCAGGUUGAGCUU
rnacentral:lncRNA from 1 species